GGCUUGGUCAUAUCGAGACGGCCGGGUGGGGGCGAGGCGACGAGCGCUCUCUCGCUCUCUCUCUCUCUCUCGCUCUCUCGCUGGCUCGCCGUUCUCUGGCUUUUAAAGAAGAGAAGGCGGACGGUAAAAAAAGCUCUCGCUGGCUCUAUUUCGUACCCUUGAAAGCUCGGGCUUCUUUUAUCGUUGUCGCUUCAUUAGAAGGAUUUUGUCUUCCUCUUCCCCUCGAGCGAGCGGGUGAUCUCGGAAAGUCUUUGGGGUUGCUACAGGGGGCUGGCUGAGAGAGUGGUCCUAACUUUGUACAUGUUUGUCGGAUCAAAAUGAUGGCAAAUUUUGUUACAAGAUCCUUGGCGUUGGUUCUUGGCUAUGCUUAUCCGGCAUAUGAAUGCUUCAAAACUGUGGAGUUGAACAAGCCGGAGAUUGAGCAGCUGAGAUUCUGGUGUCAGUAUUGGAUCUUAGUUGCUGCGCUGACCAUCUUUGAGAGGGUUGGAGAAUCUUUUAUUUCAUGACUUAUCUGGGAAUUCAGAUUUUUCGGUUCUACUUCAAAUGCACCAGAUGCUCGGCUGAAAUUGCAUUCAAAACAGAUCCUCAGAAUUCGGACUAUGUUGUUGAAUCGGGAGCAUCCCGAAAUUUUGAGCCUUGGCGGGAAGAGGACGAAGCAGUAGAAAAAGAGAAGAAGAAAAGAGCUGCUGAAGAGAUGGGGGAUGCGAUGAAGUCACUGGAAAACAGAGCAGUGGAUUCAAAGAGAGAUAUGGACAUACUUGCAGCACUAGAAGAAAUGAGGUCUAUGAAGGUAUAAAACCUUUAUUAGGUAUGUUAGAAGAGUGAGAAGGGUUUUCCCCCAAAAAAAGUGUAGAACAAGUGGGAAAAGGAAAUAGUUUUCUUCAAUCAUUUUCCAUAUUGAGGGUUUAAAUAUAUUCAGCGAUUUCUCCCUCCUCAGGUUCCUGAUACUUCAACAGCUCGCAGAGAUGAUGAUGGGGCUGAAUGCGGUCCCUGAUAUUUUUUAGACUGUUAUUUAAUGAGUUUUAUAUGUAUCUUUCUUAUAUUUUUCAAAAUACAUUGUAAUUCUAAACUUAUGUAAAUUUAAUCUUAUAUGACAAUAUGAAUGUUUCGAAUGA